UACGAAGGGGGCUAGCGUUGCUCGGAAUCACUGGGCGUAAAGGGCGCGUAGGCGGGUGCUCAAGUCUGUGGUGAAAUCCUCCGGCUCAACCGGAGAACUGCCAUGGAUACUGGGUGCCUCGAGGGUGGUAGGGGUAUGCGGAACUAUCGGUGGAGCGGUGAAAUGCGUUGAUAUCGAUAGGAACUCCGGUGGCGAAGGCGGCAUACUGGACCACAUCUGACGCUGAGGCGCGAAAGCCAGGGGAGCAAACGGG
rnacentral:rRNA from 1 species